AAGCAAAAAUACUGCUGCUGUCCAACAAGGGGAAAACUUGUAUAUCCUAAAAAUAUAUUUUUCUUCAGAAAUGAUGUAAAAUAGCCUUACUUUUAAAUUGAUGACCAUGGGCUUUUGAAGCGUAAGCUUUAGUUUGAGUUUUGAAAGGGAAUUUGCAUGGGAUUCUUCAUGGAAAUAUUGAAUAAAGUUAAAAUAGGGAACACAAAACUAUUUAUUUUAUUUAUUUAUUUAAAGCAGUCAUCCGAUUGAAAUAAUGAUCUGAUAGAGACACAAGUAUGUCUAACUUUUUAUGUUCUGUUCUACAGUGCAACAAAGUUAAUAGAAAAGCCAUAAAAUUAUUGUUAAACAUAUGUAACAUAGAGUCACAAUAAGGGACUUCAAGAAUGGCUACUGAAACAGAGUUUACUUAAAAUACCGACCAAACAAGACCACACACAGACAGAUACCAUGCAUGUAUAUAGUUUGUUACACAUUUUAAAUGACUAAUCAGCAAGAAAGCCACCCAGCACACAUUUGGAUAAACCAAAGCAACCAAAUCAAGCCUAUAGAUCACUUCUAAAACAAACCAUGUUCUUUUAACGUUACCCAGAAAAGUUGCCAUAUCAAUUUCAGUUACAGUAGAUGAGCUUCAUUCAUUCACUUAACCCACUCAGAUUUUUUCUGUUAGUCAGCAACCUUUCAAUCAUAAGCCUUACACAAACACAAUAAACUAUAAGGAGCCACCAUGGCGUAUAAUUAACUUUACACUAAUAUUACAUUGGUUUCCUAAUUCAGACAUUUUUCUUUCCCGUCCUGGUAUAUGACCUGGAAAAAAUAACAGUCAAAUACAUAAAAACAAUUGCUAUUUUAUUCAGAGAUGAUCCUUUUAUGUGUGCUUUAAUGCUUUAAUCAUUGGCAAAGUAAACAUAGGCUUCCUUAACAAAUUAAGACUAGUGAAACUACAUUCAGAUAAACGUCCUCAGGUUUGCCCUUUAUGGUUUAAGACUCUAAAUGGGUCACAGGGAUGUUUAUUUUGGCCUCCACAUGAACACAAUAUUAACAUUUUUUAAUGAGCGUUGGUCCCUGAACAAAAUACUUAGUUUAUUCAUGUUGGAUUCCAGGCUGAAAAAAGCUGUGGCCUUAACGCAAGAGUACUAUGCUUGCCAAUGGUCAGUUGAUUAUGCAAGCCAAGCUGGUGUUAUAUAAACCCAUUCACUCCUGGUUAUACCACAGAGGUCAAAACUACAAGGAUUGAUCAUAGUUGGAUCUCUUAGUGGGAUCAGAAGCCAGAAAGCGAUCCACUGUUGAAGCUGCACAUGAUUUAGAGUGUGUGAUUCAGUAGUUUUAGAGUUUUAGAAUAGAGGCCAGAGGUAACAUCCUGAUGAUGCUCGAUCAAAGCACUGAACUCCAACCUGUAUUAUCUAUGCUAUUAUUUUCUAUUCUUUUGUUUUUACUCUUACGUUUUCAGCACCCAUUAUAUUUACUUGACUAAUUCUGAAUACUCUGGCCAAUAGAAACUGACCAUUGCUAAGCCCCACCCCUUGGCUACAGUUGCUACCCCUGUCAAGCUUUCUAUUCUUGCACUGCACAUAUGCAAUUUUACAAUGAUAACGGUGGCAGAUUUACCAUUCAAAUUUCUUAGUAAUUAUUAGAAAAUUUGUGUCCCUGAUUUCAGACAGAGGUAGACGAAAGCAGCUUCUCAUUUCUUGCUGGCAACGGUCGAUUUUCCUGGCUGAAAUGAAAAGUUUCGCUGGCAGUUUUAUCAGCUGUAGCUAGCUAGCUAAUUAAGCUGACAUUAGCUCCAUGAUUUGGUUGAAAGUGCCGUUUCUGUCUCUCCGGCUGCUCUGGAUGUCUUAAGCUGACUCGUUUCAAAACUAGCAAAAAGUCAACAUCCUGACCAGUUGAUGAUUCAUAUAGAAAACAUGGAAAUAAAGAAACAGCAUUGUUCUUAUGUUGUAGUGUAGAGGUAGGUAGCCCUAGUAUUAUAAGGAAAAAUGUAAAAUUGAAGUCUUAUUUUAUUCUGCUUAACUCAUUUUGCGUUACUUUGAGGACUAACCUAUGUGAACUUUGAUAACGAGUUAGGCUGAGGCUACUGAAGUGUAAACUUUCCCAAAUGAAGGACAGGACAGAGCCACUAACGUAUACUCUGGUAUAGUAGCAUCCAGGACCGGUUUCCAGACAGUGGGGAAAUAGUACACAGUGCAUUUCAUAUAGUAUGAAAUGCUCCUUGGCCUUGGAAGUAACUCUUGGUUACUAAUUAAGCUAGUUAGCCAGACAUGCAUAUGUUUGCAGCUUAUGUUAGAGCAGAUAAACAUGCUGCCACUACAGCCCAAUGUACACCGCUUCUGCAUGUGGAGAAAUCAAAAGUUUGACAGGCCUGCUGUGCCCAGUUAUAGUUGCUAAGCUAUGAUUGGACAAUUGCUAUUCGGGGGGAGGGGUUUAGUGAACGGUCAAACCAUGAUCUCAUGCCGUGACUAAAGCUUCUUUUUUAAAAUUUCCAUUAGUUGAUACUUCUUCCUAGUGUCCACAAACAUCCACACUGAGAGCUAAUAUAAAAACUCCAGUUCAUCUGACACGCAUGUCUUGCAUUUGAAGAAACUGUAGCACCCUUAAAAAGCCCAGAGGAAACAAACUCCAUUUAGAAAGGAGCUCAGCUGCAAUUGAGCAGUGAUUUGUUGAAAUUUAACAAGCAAGGAAGGUCACGGAGGGGCAUUUCUUUCUCUCAGGGUUACUUUUUCCCCAUUAUAAGGAUAAAUACAUCAUUAAAAAGGGUAAUGCCAUUCACUUUCAGCUCCCUUCAAAUCACUCUGUGAUUGUUAGUGAGGAGAUGAAAUCUCAUAAAGCUGAUAGGGAAGAGGCAAGGGUGGGAGAAGAAAAGGCAGAGAGAGGACAUGGAGAUACAGAAUGAGAAAGAUGAGGGCAGAUCAGGUCAGAGGAGGUCAAAAAGUAAUGAGAAGAAACUUAAUAAAACUAGAAUGUAGCAGAAGAAUCAAACCACACCGUUGUACAUCAGCCCAUCGCAAACUUCGUUUGUUCGCCAUUUGGUGCUUGGCAAGUAAGCGUACAGUGGGUUUUUAGCUGAAAACAGUUGCCUGCUAUUACUCAAAACGAUUCUGAUGAAAGCGUUGAGACUGAGCCAAAACAGUGAAGUUGCGGGCCAGAAAACCGGAACAACAUGCUGAAAGACACUACAAAGCUCCAUAAAGCUGAAGGGAACUGCAGGGAUCAUUCUCUGUGGGUUCGUCACUAUGAACAAACCCUUUUUCACGUACAAGUAAUCAUGUGAUCGUGGUAUAAAAAUAUUCAUUAUAGUUUGCUGUUUUAAUGAAGAAGUCAUUUUGUGUCGUUCUGGAGGAAAAUUACAAACAACGUACUUUGUCAUUUAAUUAGAAGAACUUGUUGGAGACACAUUUGUCCUGUAUUGUUAUGGAAGGAUUUUCUUAACAGUUUAUAUGAAGUAUGGGGCAUCAUCAGGCCAUCAAGUACUGUAUGUAAAAACUGAGCCUCUUUAGAAUUAAAACAGCCAGUAGUGGUAGUUCUUUAUGUAUGAAUGCCGUUCUUCAUGCCACUAUGCUGUCUCAGAUGACUCAACAUACUGCAUUAUGUAGUUUUAACCCAGUCUAGUCAGAAUGGAUCGUGCAGCCAGUGUCUUCCACUGUGUAAGUGUUUAUACAUGUGCAUGUGUUUGCACAUGUAUCUCACUAUCUCUCAGUUGAGAUCCAGCCUGUGUGAACUGCCUCAUCGUGCUGUCAGUCCUUUGCAAAGUAAUGAGCUGUAGCCUCUCGAGCUUCCUAUCCGGUUUUCCCUUUUUCCCUCCCUCGCUCGAUAUCCCAGAGGGAAGUGUGCCCCUGACGGCUAUUACAGUGGUCAGAGCGGCUCAUUUCUCUGUAUUAGAAGAUGAUUUUACAGACAGAGCUAACUGAGCUAACUUCAGCCAUCAGAGACAAAGAUAGAGUCUGAAGGGGCGGAUAGAGAAAGAAAUGAGCAGAGAUGAGAAAGAAUUUGUAACAUUAGUGACAAUCAUUGACACAUGAAGUGAAAAAGGAAGACGUAGAAGAGAGAGGAAAGAUAAUGAGGCAGGAAAUGCUUUUUUUCAUUAGUACAUUUACUUAAGACAACUGACAAGGAAAGAGCUGUUAGAGUGGGAGUUAAGCAAUGAGUGAAAAGGAGAGAAAAUGGAUUAGAGGGGACAAAGGAAGAAUGGAGAGGGAAGAGGUGGUGUGUGAGGAGGAACGUCAAAGAGAGAAAAAAAGAAGAAAGGACACAUGAGCAUAUGACAAGAGAGAAAUCAAUGAGGCAAGAAAAGUAAAGGUGUAAAGGAAAGGAAAGACUGAGCACAAUUGUUUCAUGUUAUUGGCUUUACAUUUACAAAUGUUUACGUCAUAAAUAUAAUCUCACUUUUUUUAUGCCCAGUAAAGUGGUAUAUAGCCUUUUAAGCACACAGAGAAAAGUUUAAAAUGACCAAUUUAAAACCAGAAGUUUAAACAUUUUAUUUUGUUAUAUUUCUAAACUGUAACAAAAAACCGAGAACACUUUGUUUUAUUUGCUGCAGUCUCCUGCUUAAAUUGUGGGAUUAAAAUCCAAAUAAUUUAUUAUUUAUUAGAAUUUAUUAAUAGUCCUCACCACUUCAUAACCACUACCAGCAACCAUACAGUACAUAAUCACAAUAAUUAUCUGUGGUCUUUGUUUGGUUGGUCGUGGCUCAGGCGUCCACUAUUCACCACCACCUACAGUUUAUGUCAUCCACCGCCCUCACUAUCCAAUCAGCAGCUACUUUCUGUGGAAGCAUGGACCUACAGUAUUAAUCAGUUAGAUACCAACAAUGUGUUUCUACCUAGUGACCCCAAGCUUUUGGAUCUGACUCAGUGGACUCCACAAAGACGAAAGCAUGCAAACAUGAGCAUCUGUUCAGUUACAGACAAGAUGAUCUACAGACACCCAACUGUAUUGUUGGAGGGUGUUUCUUUAAUUCCCUCCAUCUUACUGCUGACAAGACCUGCCUACACAAUCACAUGAAAGUGAAGGAUAGCAUCUCUGUCCUGCAGUCCAACUCCAGACGCCUUUUACUGAGCCAGUAACCCCAGCGACUCGACCACCCAGGCAGGAGAGAUCUCCAUCAUCGAUCUUCAUAGAAGAAGGACUGCAAACAACAGCUUGGAGACCAGAGUGGUCUGUCUUCCACAAAACAAACUAAGAAACUACAUUGUGGCACUGACAUUGUUCUGAUCCACUUUCCUGGAUUAUAGUGUAGGUGGAGAUACAGGUGUGUCAGGAUGACCAUGUUCUACAUCAUCAUACAGAACGGAUUUGCAUGAAGAGAAUGUGUAAAAACUGCAGCGUGUUGACAUGAGGAUCUUUGCCAGAUGAGAAGAUAAGAUAAAUAAGGAAAAGUAAUGACGGCCUAUGAUGGACAAAUGUCUCAUAAAGGUUAUAUUUGGGUGCAAGCCCACACUGCACUCUCAUUCAACAACCUUGAUGAUAAGGACCAGUUUGAAGAUCCCUUCCCUCCCAAAAUAUCCAACACCAAGGUGGUUCUGAGUUAUUAGGACAUUUUGGGGAAUGUAGUUGUACAGUUAAAGUUGAAGAUGUUUCUCCAUUCAAAUGACACAAAUCCACAUAAAAAUUUAACUCUCUGGAGAAGAUAAUAAAAGUUCUUGUGAGAACAAUAUGGGACUGGCAAGAAGAUACUGAGAUAAGACAUUCAAACUGUGAUGCAACCUUUAAUGCAAAACUUCUCUCUUACUUUUGAGAAAGCAAAAUUGUACAACCAUGAAAUUUACUCUUUUGUUUGUGUUUGCUCCAAAUGUCACAACUUGCUGAGGACUGGGUGAUGUAUUCGUACUCAUGUCAAAGUAAACUCUGGGUACUCAGAGGCUUCACUGUUAAGCCAAAAUAUUUAAAGUGAAAUAAAUGGGAAAUUCUGUUGGUGUUAUAUUGUACACAUGGUUUAAAUGGAUCGCCAUGCAAAUAUGAAACAGAAAGAGUAUGACUGUAAACAUCUGCAGCACUGUAUGGUUAGCAGGAGGCGAACAACAGGAAUACGGCUCAGUGUUAAAUGUGAACAUGCUACCAUUGUAGCAUUGUAGCUUCUCAGCAUUACGACAUUGUGUGUACCUCACUUGACAUGCAUGACUACUCGCAGAGUUCUCUGUUUCCUUUUACUGCCCUCCUUGAUGGAUGGAACUAUUUGCCUCUUUACAAAUACAUGUAAGUCAUUUGCACUUAAGUAAAACAAAUUACAUUCUUAGAUUUAUUAGUUAAUAUAUGAUUAUAUAUACAGGGUUGGCUUUAAAUUUCAUUCUAGAUUUCCAUAAUAUGUUUUUUGUAUAUCUUAGUUUUAAGUUUCUCUUUGUACAUUUUCAGUCAUGCCAUGAAUCAUAUUUCCUCAUCUUCAAAGGAAGUUUUGUAAACGUGGACCUUAAUACUGUAUGACACUGAGUCUCUUCAUUCAUUCAUUCAUUAAAUUAAUCAGAAUGUGAGAUGUUUGUCUGUCACAACAGGUUUUUUUAUGAAUGCUUGUCAUACCAACGUAUGGCAAAAUUAUGUUAUUACAAUAAAAUUUCUAAAAUCUUUGUUACAACGGUCA